rnacentral:tRNA from 1 species
GCCAGUGUGGUGUAGUGGUUUGAGCAUUGGACUAUGACUCUAGAAACCAGGGUUUGAAUCCCUACUUGGCCA